AUUACGUGCCGCGAUCAGUCUUACGCCGAGCGUGAAUCGGAUCGGUGAAUUGAGCGAAGAAGCCAGCAAGCAAAGCAAAGUUUGGUUAGCUAGUUGAUGAAACCCUGAAGGAGCGAGUUUCAACGGCACAACAGUUUCACCGAGUAAAGUCUACGUGCGCUCUGUCCACAAACUUCGCUGUGUAUAGCUCACUAACUCUAGUUCCAUUUAAACCCACGCAAAGAACUAAGCAUCCUCAGAGAGAAGGAAAAGGCGCUGAGCAUCAUGAAUAAGUGACGGUUUGGCGCGUGAUGAAAACAAUGCGAAAUUUUAUUCUGCUUUACUGCACCUUCCCGACCCUGGACCUCUAUGGUUGGCCAGCAGAAUACAUUGACCCUGGUUGUUUCGACCUCAUUAUUUCCACCUAAACGCCUUCAUUGCAGCGAUGGACAACAUUGAUGAUUAAUUUCAAAAUUAAGGAGGAUGUCUGGCCGAUAUAGUCAUAAGCGUCUUUAGUAUUUUAAAAGUCUGGGCACUUUUCUUAAUUUUUUUAUUCUUUGUUUUGUUUCUUUGUUUCUCAAAUCUUAUUUUUCCUUUCGUUUUUCUUGAAGUUUCAUAUUUUUCUCGUUAGGCUUUUGAACAAUUUUUCAUUAGAUUAAAGCAUCAUAAAUUCAGCCUUAUUACUUAUUUUCAAUUUAACAGGAGAUCAAGCAUUAUAAUAAAUUAUUUCUCACAUUUUUAAAGAAAGAGGUCAACCUAAUCUAAGAAGCAUUAAAGAAUUUCAUGUUGCCAAAAUUUCUCAUUACUUUUUUAAAAUUUUCGUGUUAACUAAAUUCUUGUCCCAGAAUUACUUUUGAUUGAAUUUACUUUAAUAUUAUGAUCAAUAUUUUAAUUACUUGAUAAAUGGAUUGGCUUAGCUUAACAUAACUUUGUUAUUGGCUUAAAAACAUUUAUAUUUGGUUUCAUUAUAUCAUUUUCAAUAUUUUUUUCAUUUCAAAAUACGUAUUAAGUUUUUUUUUCUUAUAUGUUCAUAAAAUUUUUCAACGUUUUAAUUGUAUCGAUAAAUUUAUUGGCAAGAAAAUCGUUGCUAUUAACUUAAUUUACAAGAAUACAAAAAAUGCAUGACAAGAUUUAAAAUAUUAAAAAGAUGUUUAAAUAUUUAGAUUUACGAAAUUAACUAGAAUACGAAACAUUACCUGUUGCAGCGUUAUAAGAGAGUACAUAGAGCGGUAAUUUUUUUGACUAACAAAUGUAAAACAUUAAUUACAUGUAAGAAUUUCUGAAUUUUCGUACUAAUUUUCUAAUAAGUUAAUUUACUAGCCCUAUUUACACUCACAAAAGGAUAAAUCAUAGCCCUAUGAAAGCGUCACAACGAACCUGAUUGCCCGAUCAAAAAGCCUGAUUAAAUUGGACCACCGCAUGCAUUCAUCAGCAUUUCACCAUUAUGCCGUAAAUUAUUUGUAUAACUUUAUUUUUUGAACUAGUUUUAAUUUGAAUAAAAAUGUAAGCAUUAAUGUAACCCUUA